AUGCUCAAGCUUCUCUUCAUCUAUUAUGCUAAUCUUUCGUGUUUUACUAAAGAUUACCGUAGAAAGGAGCAUCCUAAUGAGCUUAAGCAAACUUUUGGAAUCCCAAAUUGUGUGAUU